AUGGCCAUGGUUAUCUCCUCCGGUGUUCAAGCUCCUUGCUCUCUCCUCAUGGCAACCUUGAUGCUGCUCAUUGUCCAGGCGCAAAGCUUCACCAGGCACUACAAUUUCAAUGUGCAAAUGGCCAACGUGACGAGGCUGUGCGCCACCAAGAGCAUCGUAACGGUGAACGGGGAGUACCCCGGCCCGGCGCUCGUGGCGAGGGAAGGCGGCCGCGUCGUUGUCCGCGUCACCAACCAUGUCGCGCGCGCACAACAUGACGCUGCACUGGCACGGCGUCCGGCAGCUGCGAAACGGCUGGGUCAUCGUCGUCUAUGGCGUCGUCAUCGUCGUCUAUCGUCGUCUAUGGCGUCAACUUCACCUUCUCCGGGCAGCGUGGCACGCUGUGGUGGCACGCGCACAUUUCGUGCCACCGUCUAUGGCGUCAUCGUCGUCCUUCCCAAGCACGGCGUGCCUUACCCGUUCGCCGCGCCGCACAUGGAGGUUCCGGUCAUCUUCGGUGAAUGGUGGAGGGCGGACACGGAGGCGGUGCUCAGCCAGGCGCUCCAGACGGGCGGACCCCCGAAUGUCUCCGACGGUUUUACGAUAAAUGGGCUUCCUGGGCCACUGUACAACUGCUCCGCCAAAGGUACAUGCUUUGUGGUUGGUUAA
rnacentral:rRNA from 1 species